ensembl:snoRNA
UGGGCAAUAUCCUAGAGAAAUAUAGUAGCUUUCUGUUCACACCUUGCAAGUAAAAGGGGUGGAUCGUUCCACUACUGACAUAU